GAAAUGCGAUAAGUAAUGUGAAUUGCAGAAUUCAGUGAAUCAUCGAAUCUUUGAGCGCACAUUGCGCCCGCCAGUAUUCUGGCGGGCAUGCCUGUUCGAGCGUCAUUUCAACCAUCAAGCCCCCGGCUUGUGUUGGGGACCUGCGGCUGCCCGCAGGCCCUGAAAACCAGUGGCGGGCUCGCUGUCACACCGAGCGUAGUAGCAUACAUCUCGCUCAGGGCGUGCUGCGGGUUCCGGCCGUUAAAAGCCUUUUUUACCCAAGGUUGACCUCGGAUCAGGUAGGAAGACCCGCUGAACUUAAGC
rnacentral:misc_RNA from 1 species